ACAGGGCUUGUGGAAAUAAUCUUCAAAUUAUGUAAUAUAUUAGCUGACCAAAGAAGAAAGGCAGAUCUUCAAUAGGAACGGAGAGUGAGCCUGUGCCCUAAGAGACUGGUCAAAAUGGCCAGGUAAUAGGAGAAACCAUCAAGCUAAUUAACACAAGAGCACAGAGCAUAUAAACAAACAUGCACACUAACACCCAGGACGGAUAUAUCUAAGUUUACUCAUCGGACC